rnacentral:rRNA from 1 species
UCUCGGUGGCUGCAGUGGGGAAUAUUGGACAAUGGGCGAAAGCCUGAUCCAGCCAUGCCGCGUGUGUGAAGAAGGCCUUCGGGUUGUAAAGCACUUUCAGUGGGGAAGAAAGCCUUGGGGCUAAUACCCUCGAGGAAGGACAUCACCCACAGAAGAAGCACCGGCUAACUCCGUGCCAGCAGCCGCGGUAAUACGGAGGGUGCGAGCGUUAAUCGGAAUUACUGGGCGUAAAGCGCGCGUAGGCGGUCUGAUAAGCCGGUUGUGAAAGCCCCGGGCUCAACCUGGGAACGGCAUCCGGAACUGUCAGGCUAGAGUGCAGGAGAGGAAGGUAGAAUUCCCGGUGUAGCGGUGAAAUGCGUAGAGAUCGGGAGGAAUACCAGUGGCGAAGGCGGCCUUCUGGACUGACACUGACGCUGAGGUGCGAAAGCGUGGGUAGCAAACAGGAUUAGAUACCCUGGUAGUC